rnacentral:lncRNA from 10 species
GAAAUGUUUUGAGAAUUAUCAAAAAGUAACAGACAAGAUGUACGCACAUGCUAUUGUAACAAUGAAUGGCGCCAAUAGACUUGCUCCACACAGGGUUGCCACAAACCCUCAGUUUGUAAAAGGUGCAAUUUCCGCAAAAUGCAAUAAAGCUAGGCAGAAUAAAACGUAAGCCGGUCGCUGUUUUCCACAUCCCUGUCAAACUUCUAUAAAUAGAAGGGUGGAGAGAAAGAGGGCAAUGAUUGUGUGUUAACAAAGCCACUGAGAACUGAAGAUAGC